rnacentral:lncRNA from 1 species
CUCAUGUUAAUCACAAUUUUGUAGUUCAGGUCAUCUAGAACACCUAAGGAUAUCAAAUUUCUUUGUAGGUCAGGAACAUACCUGGUCUUAUCUAAGAUCAAUUCAUUAUUACCAUCCAACCUUAAGGUGAUUGUUCAUAUUCCUUUAACCUGACAAGACAUGUGAUUACCCAUUAACACUUGGCCUCCACUUACAUUUUCAAACUCACUAAACCAUUCUCUUUUAGGACACAUAUGAAAGGUGCAACCGGAGUCAAGGAUCCACUCCUGACUAGGUGGACUGUGUACAGCAACAUAAACCUCAUCUAUGUUGGUCUCAUUAUUAUAGGCUAAAGCAGCACCACCAUCAUUAUUAGACUUAUUUCUCAAAUCAUUAAGUCUCUUUUGACAAUAUUUGAUAAAAUGACCUUCACCUAGACAGUAAAAACACUUUUUACCCUUAGUCUUGAUUUUCAUUUUAUCUUUAAAGUUGACCUUCUUUUUGUGUCCGGGUUGCUUAUUGAAAUUGACAACUUUUGGAUUUGUGUUUGGUUUGGACUUAACCAUCAAAUUUUCACCACUAACAGAUUCCCUCUUGUCAGAUUUUAACUUUAACUCUUUAUUUCUCAAUGCAUUUAUUAUCACAUCAGUAGUUAGAGUCUCCCUUCCAUAUUCAAUAGCAUUUUUGACAUCUUUAUAUUUAUCACUUAGUGAAUUUAACAAAACCACAGCCAGCUAUUCUUUUGAGAGUUUCUCAUCACAGUCGGCUAGGUCACGGGAUAAUCUGUUGAAUCUAUCAAUGUUAGCAUCAAGAUCAAGAGAUGGGUCUAAUUUGAAACCAAAAAAUUGUUUUAGAAGAUACAUUUUAUUAGGCAUGGUUUUAUUCAAAUAAGUAUCUUCCAAUUUUUCCACAACUCAGCAGCAGUUUUUGUCUCACCAAUUUCUCUCAACACAUUGUCAGACAAAUGCAAGAAUAUAGAACUCCAUGCAAUUUCAUCAAGUUCAGUUUUCUUAAUUUCUUCCAUAUUAUUAGGCCAUGACUCAUCAAUGGCUUUAGCACAUUUUUGUUGAAGCAAAAGGGCUCGCAUUUUCUGGCGCCAGAGACUAAAGUCUCUUUUACCAUUAAAAAUCUCCAAUUCAACUUUAGUUGACAUUAUCAAAACUCAAUUUGAUAAAAAAAAAAUGCAGGCAGAUCACAUACAAAGUCAACAGUAUAUUCAACUUGCAGGAACUCAAAUGUCAUACACCAUAAUCAAAUUUAAAGUGCACAGUUAACAAGUGAGUUAUACAAUAUAGGUUAUGCAGUAAGAUCUCAUCAGUCCAUUCACCACAUGAAUAAGCAGUUUACACAAAAACCAGCAGUGUCAAGUCACAAG